rnacentral:rRNA from 3 species
GGAGCACGAAGGUUGGCUAAUCCUGGUCGGACAUCAGGAGGUUAGUGCAAUGGCAUAAGCCAGCUUGACUGCGAGCGUGACGGCGCGAGCAGGUGCGAAAGCAGGUCAUAGUGAUCCGGUGGUUCUGAAUGGAAGGGCCAUCGCUCAACGGAUAAAAGGUACUCCGGGGAUAACAGGCUGAUACCGCCCAAGAGUUCAUAUCGACGGCGGUGUUUGGCACCUCGAUGUCGGCUCAUCACAUCCUGGGGCUGAAGUAGGUCCCAAGGGUAUGGCUGUUCGCCAUUUAAAGUGGUACGCGAGCUGGGUUUAGAACGUCGUGAGACAGUUCGGUCCCUAUCUGCCGUGGGCGCUGGAGAACUGAGGGGGGCUGCUCCUAGUACGAGAGGACCGGAGUGGACGCAUCACUGGUGUUCGGGUUGUCAUGCCAAUGGCACUGCCCGGUAGCUAAAUGCGGAAGAGAUAAGUGCUGAAAGCAUCUAAGCACGAAACUUGCCCCGA